rnacentral:snoRNA from 1 species
ACAAUUUUAAGUGGUUGCGUUUAUCAUGUAUGCUUUCAUUGUUAAAACUUGUGCCCAAAAAGUAAAACUCAGUCACUGCUAAAACAGCGGCGUAUUGAGCUUGUUUAAUGCUCGCGUCUCUACCUGAGCUAUGGCACAAA